UACGGGGGGGGCAAGCGUUGUUCGGAAUUACUGGGCGUAAAGGGCUCGUAGGCGGCCAACUAAGUCAGACGUGAAAUCCCUCGGCUUAACCGGGGAACUGCAUCUGAUACUGGAUGGCUUGAGUUCGGGAGAGGGAUGCGGAAUUCCAGGUGUAGCGGUGAAAUGCGUAGAUAUCUGGAGGAACCCCGGUGGCGAAGGCGGCAUCCUGGACCGACACUGACGCUGAGGCGCGAAAGCGUGGGAGCAAACAGG
rnacentral:rRNA from 1 species